rnacentral:lncRNA from 1 species
GUCUAAGUGGGAGCAGUCUGAGUGGGAGCAGUCUAAGUGGCAGCAGUCUGAAGUGGGAGCAGUCUGAGUGGGAGCAGUCUAAGUGGGAGCAGUCUGAGUGGGAGCAGUCUGAGUGGGAGCAGUCUGAAUGGGAGCAGUCUAAGUGGGAGCAGUCUAAGUGGGAGCAGUCUGAGUGGGAGCAGUCUGAGUGGGAGCAGUCUGAGUGGGAGCAGUCUGAAGUGGGAGCAGUCUGAAGUGGGAGCAGUCUGAAGUGGGAGCAGUCUGAAGUGGGAGCAGUCUGAAGUGGGAGCAGUCUGAAGUGGGAGCAGUCUGAGUGGGAGCAGUCUGAAUGGGAGCAGUCUGAGUGGGAGCAGUCUGAGUGGGAGCAGUCUGAAGUGGGAGUAGUCUGAAGUGGGAGCAGUCUGAAGUGGGAGCAGUCUGAGUGGGAGCAGUCUGUGCUAGUAGUCUGAGUGGGAGCAGUCUGAGUGGCAGCAGUCUGAGUGGCAGCAGUCUGAAGUGGGAGAAGUCUGAAGUGGGAGCAGUCUGAAUGGGAGCAGUCUGAAGUGGGAGCAGUCUGGAGCAAACAUUUUCAGUCUAAAAACUGUACAUUUGUUUGGUUUAUUUUCUUGAAAGGUGGAAAUAUAAACAUUUGUAUAUUUACCAAUAUGUCAGGGAAGUUAACAUGUGUGUCAAGAAUCAUAAUCUAUACUGUAUAUAGACUUAGUCUCACAUCUAAAAUAACAAGGAUGCCAUGAAGGGGGUGAGAGGUCAUUAGACAAAAUAAGAUGACAAUGAAAUCACAAUGUUUAUUGCCACAAGGAACGACCAAAAUAAAAUGUAAAUGAAGUACGUUUUUUUUUAACAUGUAGUUCGCUGAUCUGCCUUUGAACUGGAUGCAUUGGCCCCUGAGAAAUAGUUUACAAUGUUGGCGCCUGUUAUCAUGAGGUUUUAUGUGCCCUCUAUGGGCCAUGCUGGCUCAGUGGUGCCUUCUACAGUGUCAUCAGAACGUGAUUAGCAAUACCUGCAAUACCUGUCCUACCUGCAGAACAAAAUUUGAAUAGGCUACAAUUUGAAUGUACUACUGCUAGGGACUGUCUAAUGAAUUAGUAAUUUUGCAUAACAAUCAAUCCAAAUAACAACAAUAAUGGAUGUGUUUCAUUUUCCUCUUCAUGAUAAUCAUAUAUGUGUGUAAUUCAUUGAUAGCUGACCCUUUGUUCCUAUAGCAAGUUACAGUAGGUCUACCCUUAAAGGUUAUUUUUUAAUUGUUUAUAUGUUUACCCAAAUUUGUACUUAUUGUUAGUAUAAACUUUAUAGACUAGCCUAGCCCUUAUGAGAAUCAUUGUGGACAAUAGUUUGUUUCCUUAUCAAACAACUUAACGCAUUGUUGUUUUUGGAAAGGUAGACC